rnacentral:rRNA from 1 species
GAUGAACGCUGGCGGCGUGCUUGCACUUAACAAUCUUUGGUAUCUUAGUGGCGGACGGGUGAGUAACGCGUGGGUAACCUGCCUCAUACAGGGGGAUAACACUUAGAAAUAGGUGCUAAUACCGCAUAAGCGCACAGUUUCGCAUGAGACAGUGUGAAAAACUCCGGUGGUAUACGAUGGAUCCGCGUCUGAUUAGGUAGUUGGUGGGGUAACGGCCCACCAAGCCGACGAUCAGUAGCCGGCCUGAGAGGGUGAACGGCCACAUUGGGACUGAGACACGGCCCAAACUCCUACGGGAGGCAGCAGUGGGGAAUAUUGCACAAUGGGGGAAACCCUGAUGCAGCGACGCCGCGUGAGUGAAGAAGUAUUUCGGUACGUAAAGCUCUAUCAGCAAGGAAGAAAUACCGACCUUUGGUCGCUAGACGGUACUUGACUAAGAAACCCCGGCUAACUACGUG